UACGUAGGGACCGAGCGUUGUCCGGAUUCAUUGGGCGUAAAGAGCUCGUAGGCGGCCACUCAAGUCGAAUGUGAAACCUCGAGGCUUAACCUCGAGCCUGCAUUCGAUACUGGGCGGCUAGAGUCUGGUAGGGGGAUCUGGAAUUCCUGGUGUAGCGGUGAAAUGCGCAGAUAUCAGGAGGAACACCGGUGGCGAAGGCGGUUCUCUGGGCAUGAUCUGACGCUGAGGAGCGAAAGUGUGGGGAGCGAACAGG
rnacentral:rRNA from 1 species